rnacentral:lncRNA from 1 species
UAAUCCUUCAAAUAAUAAUUACAAUUACAAAUAUUAAAGAAUUUAAUAAUAUUAUUAUAUCCUCACGCAGGGCUUUAUUAUGAUAAGGUGCAUGUUUAUUAAAAAUCUCUAAAUCAUAAGAAAAUAAUGAUAUUCUUUUACCUACGUUAUUUAUCAAUGAUUUUUAAACAGCAGGUGGAUGAUUACUAUAAGCAUUAAUAUAUCUGAGAUUUUCAUUAAUUUUAUGGAAUGGUUGGGUUUUACCCCUUAUUAAAUUAAAAUUAACAUCUACAUAAUUAACAUUAUAGUUCUCAUUAUAAAUAGUAAUACUUAAACCAUAUCUUUUAAAGAAAUUAUAAAGUUUCUUUUUAUAUAAUUCUAAUUUUCUAUUUGUACAAUCCUUAGAUUGGCAUAUUUCGGUCAUAUUAUGCGGAGAAAAUCCCUGGAGAAGGACAUCAUGCUUGGAAUGGUCAGUGGCAAGAGAGGAAGAGGCCGACCAAGAACCCACUGGCUUGACACCAUCAAGAAUGAUACCGGAAUGGACAUAGCAAAUCUGAAAGAAGUGGCCCAGGAUAGAACUGACUGGAGGACACUGAUCCAACAAGUGACCGAGAGUCGACUUCGACUGAGCGGAUAGAGAGACAAUCUUUAGUAAGUAAUAAAAGGUCAUCCUUAUAUAAACCAUCCUCCAAUGAAACAUUUUCUAAUUGAAGUUCUGAUAAUAAAUUAAAACCUUCUAAAUCAGUAACCUGUGCAGAAUCUGGUGCCUCCAUAUGUAUAUCAAAAUAGUUCCUAGUAUCCUUCCUAGCCUAUAAUUUAUUAUUAUAUCUAAUUAACGAUUUCCUAGCCAUUUUAAUAUUAUUAACUUCAUCAGAAGUCAUUCCUACCUUAUUCAUUGCAUUAAUUAGGGCUUUAUUAAGGACGAUCUCAUUAAUAGAAUAAUAAUAACUAUCUAUAUCUAUUUGAAUGAAUUUAUAUUUAUUUUUAUCUUUAGUAUUAUGAAACCAUUUUUAAGUAUCAUUAGUACUAUUCCAGAAUUUAAGGUAAUUAAUUUUAUUUAACCUAUUAAGGAGUGGCUGUGUGGUAAGUAGCUUGCUUACCAACCACAUGGUUCCAGGUUCAGUCCCACUGUGUGGCACUUUGGGCAAGUGUCUUCUACUAUAGCCUUGGGCAGACCAAAGCCUUGUGAGUGGAUUUGGUAGACGGAAACUGAAAGAAGCCUAUCGUAUAUAUGUAUAUGUAUGUGUUUGUGUUACUGUGCUUGUCCUCCCAACAUCGCUUGACAACCAAUGAUGGUGUGUUCAUGUCCCCGUCACUUAGCAGUUUGGCAAAAGAGACCGAUAGAAUAAGUACAGGGCUUACAAAAGAAUAAGUCCCGGGGUCGAGUUUGCUCGAUUAAAUGUGGUGCUCCAGCAUGGCCGCAGUCAAAUAACUGAAACAAGUAAAAGAGUAAAAAGAGAGUAAAGUAUUUAUCUAGAAUAAAUUUACUUAAUUUACCUAAAUCUGAUUUACAUGGACAAAUUAAUCUAACCUUGGGGUCAGAGUAAAAAUUUUCCUUAUGGUCUUUCAAAGUCAUUCUAGGGUGCAUAGGUACAUAAGGUUCAGUUUUAUUAUCUAAAUUAUAUUUCAUCAUUAUUAAUUUAGAGUCUUUAUUUAUAUUAUAGAGUAUAUUUUCUGGAACAAUAUUAUAUUUUUCAUUUCUUUCUUUCUUUCUCUAAUAGGAUAUCAUAUAAUUUAAUAUCUAGUUUAUAGAGGUUCUUAGUUUUAUCUGAUUGUACUAUAAUACAUUCCAUAUUUCACAUUUCUUUUAUUUUAAUAGCAAAAUUUCUUAAAUAUUUAUUAUGUCAAUUUUGGGUAUUUAUGAAAAUUAAAUUUUUUUACCUCCUUCCAAAUAUUGUCCUCUAAAACCUGAAUUUCUCUAUUAUAUGGAAGUUCCUUCCUAGAUUUAAAUUUUCAGUUAAUAUAAUUAUUAUUCUCUACAUUAUUAAUGUUAGAUAUGUUACAACUAUUAUAGUAGGCUUUCCAUUUAAUCCUAGAAAUAAAAUCUUUAAUAUUAUUAAUCAGUUUUAAAAUAUAUUCCUUUCUAGAUGGUAUGGGAAUAUCCUUCAAAGAUGAAUUCCAAAAAAAGUGGUUCUAUUUUACCUGUAAGUUCCAUAGCUGACGAAAAUGAGGGUAAAUGCACUCAGAAACAUUAGGUAAAAAUACAACAACAACAACAACAAUAACAAUAAUAAUAAUAAACAACAACAACAACAACAAUAAUAGGGAAUAUUAUUCCAAACUUACAGGGAAAAAUUCAGUUUAGAAAUACUAAAUCAAAUUUCACAAAAUAUAAUAUA